rnacentral:lncRNA from 1 species
CUCGGCGUUCUCACAGCACAGUGACACUGAGACCCUCCCUGUACUCAGAACCCUCCCUUCCGCUGCGCCUAGGACUCAGUCCCUCCCUGCACGGGCUGCUUACCUGGGCCCCGCCCAUCGGUCCGGGCUGGGAGCCUCCGCCCUCCCGGCUCCAGAUCCAGGCCGGGGCCCGGUCCCUGCCGCCCGCAGGCCCCACCCCCUCGACCCCCUGCGGCCCGGCCCUCCCCCUCGCGCUCCUUCUCCCCUCCCACCAGACACCGCAGCCACUUCCGCCUGUCCUCCGGAAGUAGGUCCUGGGCAACCGCUGGCUCCCCACUUCCCCCCCCUCCAUCAUCAACGCCGCGGCGGGAGCACGGGAGCUAGUGUUCCCACUUCAGAUGUAGAACAACAGAGGAUGGAACAAACCUAGACACCACAAAAGCUAAGGUGUAAAGCUUCACAGAUGCUACGACAAAUCUGAGUGGAAUCAGCAUAUUAAGCAACAUGGUGGGAAUUUCACCCCUUGGAUAGGACUGAGGCUAUGUAAGUACACUUAGAAAGUGGAAGCCCUCUUGCCUCGUGUCACCAAGAAAGGUGUAUUUACUCUUUUGUGUCUUACUCUGACUUAUUUAAUCCUUGAAUUGUGAUUUUAAUUUAUUCUACUUUGGAUGUUCCUUCCUAGUUAAAUUAUGGACUUCUUAAGAGUAGACAUCCUGUGUACCUUAAAACCCUCAUCCUUAUCUUUGUUCAAUUUAAUUAAUAUUUUACUGGCAGGCUCAGGUGCUGUCAUCUUUCUUUGUGGGCUCCAGAGAUUAGGUUUCCCUUUACGAAGCUAGGAUACAGAAACCUAGCAUUUAUCUGGCCAGAAGUUCUCAUACAGAACUGAUGGGACAUGAGUGUGCAGACACUUUUAAAACUGGAGCUGAUAAAUAUCUAUAGUACUUGUGAGUGCACAGGCAGUCAUCAGAAGCCAAGGUGCUGUGUACACUGAGGUUUAGGGAAAGCACUUGCAGGGCUUUUCCUGUUUGCAAACAGAGACUUGACCAUCUGCUUCCUGUGGUCCAUAACCUGGCUUCUAUUCUUGGAGUUCUUAAAAUAUGACUGAUAAGAUAGAGAAAGCCAAGUAUUUCUUUUCUUUUUUUUUUUAUUUUUUAGGGUUUCUGGUUUUUUGAGACAGGGUUUCUCUGUGUAGCCCUGGCUGUCCUGGAACUCACUUUGUAGACCAGGCUGGCCUUGAACUCAGAAAUCCGCCUGCCUCUGCCUCCCAAGUGCUGGGGUUAAAGGUGUGCACCACCAUGCCCGGCUAUAAUCACAUUUUCGUAUGAGGUGAAUCACACUAUCCCCUAUGGACAUUAUGUUGCUUCAUGUUAAAUACAUUGCUUGUUGAAGCUGUAUUUCUAGGACCCAAAUCCAUCUCAUAAUGUUAAUCCAAGCUAAGGAGUGCUAAUUUCAGGGCAUCUUAACUCCUGAGCUUCCUGUGACCACCUAGGAUGAGAUUCAGUUUUAGUAAGAGAGCAAUAUUAUUGAUCAUUCCGUGUUCCAAAGUGCUGCAUUGGGCAUUGAGGGUGGCUACCUUCUAAAAUCCUACUAGCUUGGUUUCACCUUCAUAAAUAGUUCCCCACAACUUCAAAAGCUGCCAGGAGCCAUCUAGGAGGAGCUAAAGACUACCAGGUGAUCUUCCUGAGAUGGUUCCACCAUGGACUGUAAAGUUAGGACGUAGUCUCUUUUUUAGGCAAGAUCUAGGAGAUUACAUUUAGAAAGGAUUCCAGCUAUUAAUAUGCUUUUCCUGUUUUAUUAAAAAUAUAUAUUAAUCACAAGGUAUUAGCCCACCCUUUUGAGCAGAUUUUUGCAGAACAAAAAUCAUACUGUCUUAUAGUGAUACUAUAUAGACAAAUAGAUGACUUCUUAAUUUUUAAUGGUGAUUCUAUAAAAUGUCCUAAAAUUAUAUUAGUAAUCAUUAUGUUCUUUUAUAAUAGAACUGCUAUUAAGUCCUUUCUGAUGUCAAAACUGCAAAGAGAACUCUGUGAGUCUUCAAGUGUCACAAGUUAAUUGCUUCUGAGAUAGAAAGCAGACAUCUCUAACUUAGAGAACAUCCCAAGAGGUUGUAAAACAAAUUAACCCAAGGUCAUGAAAGGGAAACUAAUAAUUUUUUGUAGGUGCAAAGACAGGGUUUAUCUAUGCAAAACUUCAGUGAUAACUUAGUUAUAGUCUUUAAUGCUCCAUGAACCUGUAGAGCUGGUGACAGAUAAUGAAUGUUUAGCUAAAUAAUUACUCUUAAUGGAUAAGCAUGUAAACAUUCUCUGUUGUGAACUUCUCAUUCAAUUUUUGACUUGAAUUUAUGUUUGAACUUCUAGUGAACUUUUGUAAAAAAAAAAAAAAAAAGGGGGGGUGGUGGGGAAUACUAGGAAUAACCACUUGAUCUAUUCUCCUACAAAAGGUACAGAAGUCUCGGAAAGAUCGCAUUGCCUAGCAUCAGGAGCAAGGACGUUACUGUUACAGAGCAGGAGAGAGCAAGAUUAGAGGAAGAGAUCAAAGAAGAACUUCUUUGGAGAAUUUUAAAGAAAGAACUUGUUAAGAGAACUUAUAGAGAACUUUGUGGAGAACUUAGAAAUAAAGAUUAAAAUCACUUUUCA